AGCGAACGUUAGCGGCGGGCCUAACACAUGCAAGUCGCACGAGAAAAGGGCUUUCGGCCCCCAGUAAAGUGGCGGACGGGUGAGUAACACGUGGGUAAUCUACCUUUUUGUGGGGGAUAACAGUCCGAAAGGAUUGCUAAUACCGCAUACGUCACGAAUCUCUUCGGAGGAUCGUGGGAAAGCCGGCCUCUCCAUGGAAGCUGGCGCAGAAAGAGGAGCCCGCGGCCCAUCAGCUAGUUGGUAGGGUAAUGGCCUACCAAGGCUAAGACGGGUAGCUGGUCUGAGAGGAUGAUCAGCCACACUGGGACUGAGACACGGCCCAGACUCCUACGGGAGGCAGCAGUGGGGAAUAUUUGGGCAAUGGGCGCAAGCCUGACCCAGCCACGCCGCGUGAGUGAUGAAGGCCUUCGGGUCGUAAAGCUCUGUGGGGAGGGACGAAAAAACGUUGGCUAAUAUCCAACGGACUGACGGUACCUCCUUAGCAAGCACCGGCUAACUCCGUGCCAGCAGCCGCGGUAA
rnacentral:rRNA from 1 species